CAGGAUGAACGCUGGCGGCGUGCUUAACACAUGCAAGUCGAACGAUGAUGCCCACUUGUGGGUGGAUUAGUGGCGAACGGGUGAGUAACACGUGAGUAACCUGCCCUUGACUCUGGGAUAAGCCUGGGAAACUGGGUCUAAUACCGGAUAUGACCUUCCAUCGCAUGGUGGUUGGUGGAAAGCUUUUGUGGUUUUGGAUGGACUCGCGGCCUAUCAGCUUGUUGGUGGGGUAAUGGCCUACCAAGGCGACGACGGGUAGCCGGCCUGAGAGGGUGACCGGCCACACUGGGACUGAGACACGGCCCAGACUCCUACGGGAGGCAGCAGUGGGGAAUAUUGCACAAUGGGCGCAAGCCUGAUGCAGCGACGCCGCGUGAGGGAUGACGGCCUUCGGGUUGUAAACCUCUUUCAGUAGGGAAGAAGCGUAAGUGACGGUACCUGCAGAAGAAGCGCCGGCUAACUACGUGCCAGCAGCCGCGGUAAUACGUAGGGCGCAAGCGUUAUCCGGAAUUAUUGGGCGUAAAGAGCUCGUAGGCGGUUUGUCGCGUCUGCCGUGAAAGUCCGGGGCUCAACUCCGGAUCUGCGGUGGGUACGGGCAGACUAGAGUGAUGUAGGGGAGACUGGAAUUCCUGGUGUAGCGGUGAAAUGCGCAGAUAUCAGGAGGAACACCGAUGGCGAAGGCAGGUCUCUGGGCAUUAACUGACGCU
rnacentral:rRNA from 1 species